rnacentral:lncRNA from 1 species
UCAGGGUGUCCGGGAGCAGAGAACGUACUUGAGAGGCAUCUACCUUGGCCUCUUGGAGGUGAAGCCCUGGAUCUCCCAGGUUUUACCCCAGCUGUGAUCACAGAGGCCCUCUGGAGGCUGCCCCUGAGGGAGUCCUUUGUCGCGUGAGCUCUGAAAAAGUUACAGCCCAGCAGGAAUCUCUUUGAAAAAAUGCCACCUGUUGUCCUCUUUCUCUGUGUGGCAAGUGUAUGACCUGCCCCUGCUCUGUGUCACCACAAAGGGGCUUCGGUGAUUGACAGUCCUUCCAGGAGCCUCAUCCAGCUGUCCACGGAGCCCCUUUCUUCAGCAGAUACUGAGGUACCACUUGUUCCCCCACAGGCGUCACCACUGGGGAGCGUGACAGCCAGACUUCCAGCAAUCAGAGGACUUUCUCUGGCAGCCAAAGUCAGCUCUGCCCACAGCAAGCAAAGAGUACUGGAGAAUCAACGCCUCCCCCCAGCAGCCCUCCAGGGACAGCUGGUGGACUUGGUUGAGAGAUGCCCCAGCUCCCAGUCCCUUCAAAGAAGACAACUCUGAAAGCGUGUUCCACACACUUCCUAAAUUCCUGAGACGAAUUUGGCGCCAGCGGCCCAGAGCUGUAACUUUCUGGAUGACACAAACUUUAUUGGCUGGCUUUCCUUCUCUGCCUCGCUUCCUCUCUCCCCACAAGAACUUCUGGGGAUCCCCUACCAAGUAAUCUAUUUGCAACAAAUCUUUGCCUCAGAGUCUACUUUGGGGGAAAACCAAACUUAGACACCUUUAGACACAGAACGUUAAGUUUAGAGUCUUAGUAGAAACUCUGAUAAUAGACCAACAGGUGUGUGUUUGUGUGUGUGUGUGAUGUUUUGAACAGCAUUUUCUUCCGCAAGUGCCAGGCGCACUUGU